rnacentral:rRNA from 1 species
UUUCAACAACGGAUCUCUUGGUUCCGGCAUCGAUGAAGACCGCAGCGAAAUGCGAUAAGUAAUGUGAAUUGCAGAAUCCAGUGAAUCAUCGAAUCGUUGAACGCACAUUGCGCCCCCCGGCAUUCCGGGGGGCAU